UCGGGAAUUUUGGGCAAUGGGCGAAAGCCUGACCCAGCAACGCCGCGUGAAGGAUGAAGUAUUUCGGUAUGUAAACUUCGAAAGAAUAGGAAGAAUAAAUGACGGUACUAUUUAUAAGGUCCGGCUAACUACGUGCCAGCAGCCGCGGUAAUACGUAGGGACCAAGCGUUGUUCGGAUUUACUGGGCGUAAAGGGCGCGUAGGCGGCAAUUCAAGUCAUCUGUGAAAUCUCCGGGCUUAACUCGGAACGGUCAGAUGAUACUGCUUUGCUAGAGUGCAGAAGGGGCAAUCGGAAUUCUUGGUGUAGCGGUGAAAUGCGUAGAUAUCAAGAGGAACACCUGAGGUGAAGACGGGUUGCUGGGCUGACACUGACGCUGAGGCGCGAAAGCCAGGGGAGCAAACGGGGAUUAGAUACCCCAGUAGUCCCUGAGCGGGCUGGCAAGGCG
rnacentral:rRNA from 1 species